GUACUUCUUAAGCGGAAUGUUUCUGUUCUUCUUCUUCUCUUGAAGCGUCGUCUAUCUCCACGGCCCACCAAGCGAUCUAAGGUGAAGAUCGAUGCGGCCGCUGCAGCCUGUUCGUAGUUUUCUCGAGAUUUCUUUUAAUUAAUUUCCUCCAGUUACUCAUUUGGUUCUGGGUUUUGAAUUUGUUUUUCUGGGUUUGUCGUCCGGAAUUUGAAUCGGAUUUUGAUUUGUGAAAAUUUGUGGCGGUGGAACCGGCGGGGUAUUUUUAGCGAGUGAGGUUCCGAUCGAAAAUCAAGGACCGCCUUCGGAUCGUGGAUUGUUUUCUUCGUCAAAACUCAUCUGAAUCUAGAGAAAGAGUACCCAGUGAAGAUACGAUUAGGAUUGGAACCCCUGCAACUGAUGACUUGGAGACCACGUGAAAUCAGCCACCUGACCGUUGCAAAUGGUACUAUAGCGGAUAUUAGUCACACUCAUGUAUCAGUUUCUUUAUCCAAGCGAUUACGGCUUCCUUGGAACGAACCUUCUUCUGAGGUGUCUAAUCUCUCUCAUGCAGUUAUGGCGAAUUUACAAAGAUGAAUUCAUGACAUCAUUUUCGGUUAUGUUCAAUCUCAUGCAGCUUUUCAUACAAAACGAACGUAGCAUUAGCAUCAGGAAAAUGAUUGUGGCUCUUGAGCCUCCUAGAUUUGACAAUGGAACUAUACUGAGCCAGAUCCCGCAAUAUCGUAUAUUUGGUCAGAAAAGAGCCUAAAUAAUGAUCACCAUCAAGCUAUACUACAGAUACUCACUGCAAAGGACUAUGCGUUGAUCUUAGGAAUGCCUGGAACAGGAAAAAACCUCCACAAUGGUCCAUUCUGUGAAAGCUUUGUUGAUCAGAGGUUCAUCUAUUCUGCUUGCAUCUUACACAAACUCUGCAGUUGCUAAUCUACUCAUCGAAUUAAAAGCGCAGGUCCUUUAUUCCUCUAGGCAACCUUAUUAUUUUUCUGGAUUAUGACUCUUUCAUUCAUCUCUAAAAUAUUUUAUAAUUAUGUUGACAUUCUAUAGUUAGAUUGUACAUAUAGAAUGUUACUCUCUUUAGCGGGAAGGGAAAGAAGUUAGGUACAGUUAUACAAGGAAAUAAAUGACAAUUAGUUAAAGGAAGACAGUAAGAAGAGUAUGUCAACUCUUUAAAAUGAGUUUUUAGUUUACUGAACAAGAUUGGAGAAGUCAACAAAGAAGUGGGGCUGGGUUGCACGUUGAAGUCGUCUUGUCCUCAUUCUUUUUCUUUUGGCUACCAAUUUUAUGUUAUAUGAUUUUCUCAAUAUCUCUAUAUGAAAUGUCAUAUUUUUCUUCUUUUUCUUUAAAUUCAUGAUGCAGAAAAACCUGAAGGGUCAAAAGGUAUUACUGUAUUAUUAUUACAUAUGGAAGUUAAGGAAGAAUUUAUGGGAAUAUCAGCGAAUAAACUGCAGGAUUUUUUUUCUUACGAGAGAGGAAGAACGUUUUUCUUUGCGUAAGUGCCUACUUUUAGACAUGUAGGACACUUUAAUACGUCUGAUAUAUUUUGAAUCCACUUGCAGGGAAUUGAGUUUUUAUCUGCAAUGCAAAAACUCACUUUAGUCUCUUAUUUAUUUUUUUUAAUAUGAAAAGUGGGGAAGAAAAGCUUUCACCCGUACUAAUUAAAGAAAUGUCUCCAGCCAUUUACUCUUCUGCAUGAAUUUUUUAAUAAAAAAAAUAGUAGAAACGCUGGUAAAAACCAGCGUUGCGGAUGGUCUUACGUAUUGGAAGAGACGAGGCUUUACACGAAAAAGUUCGAGAAAGUUGCUUUUCAGCUAUGGGUAUGUGCAGUUGCUGGAACUAAAUGUAGGAGAUUGGAUAAAUUUGCAUUACAUAUCAACAGUACCACUUUAACAUGGACCAAAGAUUGUCACUCUGGACAUGGUAAGGCCUUAUGAGAUUUGUUGUAAUUCACUUUUAGCAACAUUUGAUUUAC